ensembl:lncRNA
CAGCAGGAUAGGAGCUGGAGUUGAGUCCCUCCAAAGUAAAUCCAAGAACAGGCAAAAAACCUCUGAGGAUCUCCUUGCUGCUCCAGUUGCUGGACACUUCCAAUGUGGAAGGACUGCAAAAUCCACUUUUGCACAUGCCAGUCCCAACCACCCUCAGCUUAUGCCCACAGCAGAACUUGGGCCCAUUUUGGGGUGGACUUCUGCUCUCUGGACCACGGCCCAUCCCCAGGCACCUGGGCAGGUCUGCAGCUGGAGAAGGGGCUCAGACACCACGCAGACACCGUGACGGGGUUUACCUCUGCCCCCAGGACUUGUUCCCUGGGCUCAGAUGGAGGCAUGCGGUCAGGAAGCAGAAGAAGAGUGAAUUAUAGCUGCUGCUGCUGCUGUUGCCACCGUAGAUAGGGUUGGAGGAAGCCUUGCUCACCCUGCCGUGUUUAGCAUCACCAAAGUACCUGGGGACAAACAGCAAACAACCCUCCCUGCUUUCCAGACAGAGGCUUAGAGUACCAACUCUGCUCCUCCCCUCUGGCUGCUGACACCCAAAGGUGCUGGCCAGCAUGGCUCCCUGCCCACCAGCUCCUUUGCAGGCUUUGUUAUUCCCAAGGGGCCAUCCCGAAGAACGACCUCCUGAGCCCGUUCAAACGAUGCUCAGUGCCCCAACCUGAUGCCUGUUGCGGAAACGAAUCCUAACCAGCAGCGAGGAUCAAACCAAUAUUCUCGGCAGCAGCUGUAAACUCGAUAAGCUGCCUGUCCUCCUUUCUCUCCCCCCGCCCCAUCCCUCCCUUUGGUGUUGAAAUGAAGGCAGAGACACGCUGAGAGAAGCAGUGCAGCGCUCUGUUUGCAGGAUAAUAUGCCGACCACAUGUAUGUAUUAAAGGCUGUAUGGAGUUAUAAUGAGCCAGGAGCAUUUAAAUGCAAGCCAAGGGGAAUUUGCUAUUCUGUGUGGGCAGAUUUCAAUUGUAAGGUUGGCAGCGCUGGUAUCCUGUUCUCUAAUGCCAUGGGAUGAGAAAAAAUAGGCUUUUCUUUCAGAGCAGUUGAUUAUUGAAUACGCACCAGCUGUUCACCCUAAUCCAAGCUUUCUGUGCUUGCUCCUUGUAAUAGAGGCAUCCCUCAUCCGUCCAUCCAUCUAUCCAUCCCCCCGUUCUCAUUUUCAUGGCUCUUUUGUAAUCUUUCAGAGAGGUGGUUAGCAGAUAUCAGCCAUCUAAAGCGACAUAAGCGUCAGUACCAGGCGAGGGUUAUAACUAAUUAACGAGAGAAGAAAGGCACCCCCAGCCAUAUAUUGAAACUCAAAUUAUAUUUCUCAUCCACUGCAAGACAUGAAAAAAAGCCAUCAUGAAUCAGAAGGCAGAGAACCAUUUUUUAGCAGUGACACCUGAUUCCGUGCCCAGCAAACCGUGUGGGAU